rnacentral:rRNA from 1 species
CAUGCAAGUCGAGCGGACGUCUCGGGCUUGCUCGAGUCGUUAGUGGCGGACGGCUGAGUAACGCGUAGGUGACCUGCCCCGAAGUGGGGAAUAACUGCCCGAAAGGGUGGCUAAUACCGCAUGUGGCCAUACGUUCGAUCGUAUGACCAAAGCCGCAAGGCGCUUCGGGAGGGGCCUGCGUCCGAUUAGCUCGUUGGUGGGGUAACGGCUCACCAAGGCGACGAUCGGUAGGUGGUCUGAGAGGACGAUCACCCAGACUGGGACUGAGACACGGCCCAGACUCCUACGGGAGGCAGCAGUCGGGAAUUUUGCUCAAUGGGCGCAAGCCUGAAGCAGCAACGCCGCGUGAGGGAUGAAGGCCUUCGGGUUGUAAACCUCUUUUCUCAGGGACGAUGAUGACGGUACCUGAGGAAUAAGCCACGGCUAACUACGUGCCAGCAGCCGCGGUAAUACGUAGGUGGCAAGCGUUGUCCGGAUUUAUUGGGUUUAAAGGGUGCGUAGGCGGCCCUGUAAGUCAGUGGUGAAAUAUUUCAGCUCAACUGGAAUUGUGCCAUUGAUACCGCGGGGCUUGAGUACAGAUGAGGUAGGCGGAAUUGACGGUGUAGCGGUGAAAUGCUUAGAUAUCGUCAAGAACACCUAUAGCGAAGGCAGCUUACUAGGCUGUAACUGACGCUGA